CAUUAUUUUUUUUUUCCUAGGUUAUUACUAAGCUUUCAUCAAGCAUGAAUGAAAACAAAAAGAAAAGUAGUGAAAUAAAAGAAUCAGUUGCAACUCUAAAGAAAGGAAGGAAAACAAAAGGAAUGGUUGUUAAUAUAAAGAAAGGAGGCAAAACAAAACGCUCAGUUGCCAUUCUUGAUAAAGGAUUUGCCACCAAAAACAAAAAUGAAAAUACUGCAGGUGUCGGUAAAAAAAGAAAGCAUGAUGGAGUUCUAGUAAAAAAGUAUAAAUCUUAUCAGAGCUGUUCCUCAUUGGACCAGGUCCAAACUAAAAAUAUUCCCAGUCUUCUUGAUAUUCCGACAGACAUGUCUAUGCAUCGUUUCCUUCGUAAACCUGGUUUCCCUUAUCAACCUUUAUCACCUUCAAGUCGACUUAAUCAGACUAGUGUCUGGGAAGGAUUUGCAGACUGGGAUCAGAGGGAUAAAACUAACUACUAUUGGACAGAUGAAAGGAGAUAUUUCAGGGCAGAGGAAGACUGCCAAGGAUUUGCAGACUGGGAUCAGAGGGAUAAAUCUGACUACCAUGGGACAGAUGAAAAGAGAUAUUUCAGGGCAGAGGAAGACUGCCAACGUUAUGAUGAUAGACAAGAACAAAACAGGUUUAUGGGGUAUAAUAGAGUUGAAGAGUCAGGUUGGAGGGAAGGGAAGGAGAUGCAUAGUGUUAGAGAUGAAUUGGUUCUAACAACAGCAAGAUGGGUUAGUGAGAAGAGGGCAAUGGAACCCUCAAAGGGGUUUUGGGAGAGGAGGAAAGUGGAGCCCUCAAAAGGUUCAGUUGAAUUGAUUGAAGUGAUGCCAUCAAGAGAGUUUGGGGAGAGGAGGGCAAUGGAGCCAUCUAAAGAACUUUGGGAGAGUAGGGCAUUAGAGCCUUUAAGAGAAUUUGGAGAGAGGAGAGCAGUAGAGCUCCCCAGGGGAUUCAAGAGGGAAAGAAGGGAAGUAGAGACCCUAAGAGAGUACAAGGAGAGAAGGACAGUGGAGCCCUCAAGAGGCUGCGAGUCUCUGAAAUCACCACAGAACAACUACACUAAACAUUGGGCAGAGCCAGAUUCAAGUGUAAAUGGUUGCAAAAAAAUUGAAUACUCAAAUAGAAAGAUUGCUUCUAAUGACAAGAGAAUUGAGCCAAUUAGAGGUUUUGACAAGGGUUUCAUUGAAAAUGCCAAGUAUGCUGGGGAAGAAGUAUUUGCAGCUGAUAGGAAUGUAUUUAUUGAUAAUGGGACUUCUAGAGAUCUUGGAAAAACAUCUUGUAAUCCCAAAAGAUAUGAUGUGGAUGGUUUUAAAAGCUAUGGUGUUAAGUCACCUGAUAAAAGAAGUAAUGAACCAAGUAAAGAGAUUGGAAAUCAGUUUCUGAAGCCUAGCACGAAACCAUUUUAUGGAAUUGAGAAAAUGAACCCUUGCUAUGAAGGAUCUGACCCUAAAAGACAACAAAUUAAUAGUAAAGAAGUAAAGUUUGACAGACCUGGCAUGGUUGAGCCUUUGAAGAAAGAUAGCUAUUUCAAUUAUGUUGGCAUGGAACCAAUCAGAAAUACUGGGCCUGAUCCUUUCAUAAGCGAGCAAACAGAAUUGGAAAAAAGAAAUUGUAUCAAACCAAUAGGAGUGGAGCAGAAAAGGUUUCUAGAUAGUAGUGAAAAUUCUGGAGCUGAAUUCAACAAUCAGUAUCAUAUGAAACCUAGUCAACUUGAAAGAAUAGCAAAAGUUAUUAACAAAUCAGAACAUGUGAACCCAUCAAAAGUAAAUGAUGACCAGUCCAGUAACAUUUUGGGAGGUGUUUUUUCUUCUAAAAUACAAAGUAGUGUUGAAUCCACCAACAUGCUAGGUCAAGCAAAAGUUUCUCAAACUGCAGAUGCUUUUUGGCCCAGUCACAAUUUCAAUGCUGUUCCAUUUAAUAACACUGCUAUCAGUGCACCAGAUGGGUUCACUAACACUAAGUGGGGUGCUGGGUCCACUCACACUAGUGGCAUUGAUGGGACCAUCUACAAUGUGGAUGCUGUUAAAUCUACUUACAAUCCUGGCAGUGUUGGGUCUUCUUAUACAAUGACUGGUGUAGGGUCCACUGACACUAAGUUGGGUGUUGGGUAUACUCACACUACUAGCAGUGAUGGGUACACUUACAAUGUGGAUGCUGUUAAAUCUACUUACGAUUCUGGCAGUGUUGGGUCUUCUUAUACAAUGACUGGUGUUGGGUCCACUGACACUAAAAGGGUCAUUGGGUCUACUUCAACACAAGGCAGUCAGUCCUUAAACAUAACAGCUGGAGAAGAUGCAGAUGCAGAAAUGGCCCGUGUUGAACUUGAGAUCAAGCAUUAUGAGAAGGAACUCAAACUUCUACGACAUCAAAGAUUAGCAAAAGAGUUGGAAGAAGAACGCAAACUUGCCAUGAACAAUCAACAAAAUCAGCAAUGGAAAAAUGAGCAAACAAUAGUGGAAGAGCAUAAUUCAAGAAUACCUCAAGUUCCGCUGAAUGAGUUCUGGUAGAUUACAGAAGAGUUCUAUUUUCGGACACGGAACAUGACAGGGAUAAUUGCCUUGACCCUGGUAGAGACUCCUGGACAAGUGUGGGACCUGCCUGUUCCUAGAGGACAUGAUUCUUUCCCUGAUGUAGUCCGUUUUAAUAACUAUCAUCAAGAUCCCUGGGAGAGAUUCUAGUUUACAUGAAAGCUGGAAUGGUGGUCACCUUCCAAUCAAAAUUUCCUUGAAUCCUUUUUGCAAUAAAUUUUAAUUUUUGGUUAAAUGCUAUUUGGAAAACGUCUUUAAAAAAGUAUAGAUCAUCUUCAUUUGUAAUUAAAGGGACUGUAGAUGUAAUUUUAUUAGAUCCAUGGUAUGCCGGGUUUACAAUGCCAGUUUUUAAAUGUUUCUUUAACCAAGUCCUUGUUUUUCAUACUGAAACAUUAUUAUUUUCUGUUAUGGUUUUUAUAUAAUUGCAACUUGCGGAUUUAUGUAAGAGAGUAAAUUAAGGAAAUUGAACACUUUUGAUUGUAGAGAAGAGAUGUCAUCUUUCUCAUGGUUACUCAAAAAAAAAAUAUAAGGAUACGGUUGUGAAUCGGACAUGGCCUGUUUAAAUUGUGAGUCUUGAAAUUACGUCUAAGGUCACUUUUAAGCCAAUCCAAAUGUGAUAU